UACGGGAGGCAGCAGUGGGGAAUAUUGCACAAUGGGCGAAAGCCUGAUGCAGCUAUGCCGCGUGUAUGAAGAAGGCCUUAGGGUUGUAAAGUACUUUCAUCGGGGAGGAAAAAACAAAACUAAUAAUUUUAUUUCUUGACGUUACCCGAAAAAGAAGCACCGGCUAACUCCGUGCCAGCAGCCGCGGUAAUACGGAGGGUGCUAGCGUUAAUCAGAAUUACUGGGCGUAAAGAGCACGUAGGUGGUUUUUUUAAAGUUCAGAUGUGAAAUCCCUGGGCUUAACCCUAGGAACUGCAUUUUGAAACUGAAAUACUAGAGUAUCGUAGAGGGAGGUAGAAUUCUAGGUGUAGCGGUGAAAUGCGUAGAUAUCUGGAGGAAUACCUGUGGCGAAAGCGGCCUCCUAAACGAAUACUGACACUGAGGUGCGAAAGGCGUGGGGAGCAAACAGGGAUUAGAUACC
rnacentral:rRNA from 1 species